rnacentral:rRNA from 1 species
GAUGAACGCUGGCGGCGUGCCUAAUACAUGCAAGUCGAGCGAACAGAUGAGGAGCUUGCUCCUCUGACGUUAGCGGCGGACGGGUGGGUAACACGUGGAUAACCUACCUAUAAGACUGGGAUAACUUCGGGAAACCGGAGCUAAUACCGGAUAAUAUAUUGAACCGCAUGGUUCAAUAGUGAAAGACGGUUUUGCUGUCACUUAUAGAUGGAUCCGCGCCGCAUUAGCUAGUUGGUAAGGUAACGGCUUACCAAGGCAACGAUGCGUAGCCGACCUGAGAGGGUGAUCGGCCACACUGGAACUGAGACACGGUCCAGACUCCUACGGGAGGCAGCAGUAGGGAAUCUGCCGCAAUGGGCGAAAGCCUGACGGAGCAACGCCGCGUGAGUGAUGAAGGUCUUCGGAUCGUAAAACGCUGUUAUUAGGGAAGAACAAAUGUGUAAGUAACUAUGCACGUCUUGACGGUACCUAAUCAGAAAGCCACGGCGAACUACGU